rnacentral:lncRNA from 1 species
CCAUCCUCGUCAUUUAUCCUUUCAUAUCAUCUCCAUUCAAACAAAACCAUACUUCAAAAUAACCCUCAUUCUGCCACUGGGAACAGUGUGAGGUUUGUAGAAAUAAUACGAACUUUAGUGUCAAAGAAAACUAGAUCUAUUUGAGCUCAUGUUUCGCUUUUUAUUAUCUGUGUGAUAAGGGGAAAGUUACCUAGCUGUUUUCUGCCUCGAUUUUCUUAUCUGUAAAUGGAGAUAAUAUUAUCUUACAAGGUUGUUAAGAGGACUAGCAAUUAAGUAUAUGGGGUUUAGAAAGGGACUGACCAAUGUUCAAAUUCCAAUUCUAACAUUGACUUAACAGUAUGACCUUAAAUAAGUGGCUUAACUUCUCUGAGCCUUGAACUCUUUUAUAAAACAGAGAUAACUAUUUUUCUCCCAGUAUUGUUAGACAAUAUAUGUAAAGUGCUUAGCACAUACUUAAUCACCUUCCUAAAACUUAAUUUCUUAAAUGAAAGUGAGAUUUCUGAAUAGUCCCUAUUUAGAAAUAUUAGGCCGUAUGGUAUAGUGGGCAAAAGUAGAGAUGAUGGAACCAGACUUAUUACUAGACUGCGACAUUGGGCACAUGUCUUAAGGACUCUGAAAAUCAAUUGCCUAUCUAUAAAACAAUGACAAUAGCAGUACCUCCUUUCUAGAGUUGUUGUGAGGAGUAAAUGCUAUGAUACACAGAAAAAAACCUAGCAUUAUGCCUGGCAUAUAAAAUUAUAGCUAUUUUUUAAUUGUUAAGCAGUUUGCUUAAUCCAGACCAUUUGGUCUCAAAAAACUAUAAUAUGGAGGGACACUUUCUCCCAGAAAGAACAUUCACACUUUUAGAACACAGGAGUUCAUCAGAUAUACCUGCAUGCUUAUUAAAACACAGAUUUUGGGGGCCCCAUACUUUGAGAACCCUAAUCUAAGGCAACAUUUAUCGAGUUCUACACUAAUAGCUUGUUAAUUGCUGUCCUAAAAUAUAUUAGUGGCCAUAAAAGCAGAAUCAUGUGGUACUUAACAUUGCUACCGUCCUUCAAAACUACACCAACACUGUGUAGCACUCAAAAGCCCCCUAAAAAGCUUUCUCUGAAGACCUGUUAUGACCGCUGAUAAGACAGUGCAGAAAAAUAGAUGGUGUUCAAUUACAGAUCUUUUCUGCAAUCCCAGGAAGAGUAGAGAGGACCCAUCAUGGAGGAUUGCAGCUUGAGGAUGACUUCUUAGUAUACUAAAACUGGAGAAUCCACUGCUUUAAGCCAACAAUGACAUUUAUUUAAAGUGUCUGUUUUAGUCAGAAUUCCCCAGAGAAACAGAAUCAAUAAGAUGUGGAUGCACACAAACUUACACACAGAUUUAUGGUCAUUGGAUCAUGCAAUUAUGAAGGCCAAGAAGUCCUACCAUCUGCUCUCUGCAAGCCGGAAAACCAGGAAAGCCAGUGAUACAACAUAGACUGAGCCCAAAGGCCUGAGAACAAGGAGCUCCCAUAUCAGAGAAUAGGAGAAGAUGGAUGUCUCAGCUCAAGAAGAGAGGGAGAGAAAAUUUGCUUUUUUUCAGCCUUGUUGUCUCUGAGCCCUCACAGAUUGAACAAUGUUCACCCACACUGGUAACAGCAGAUCUUUACUUGGCCUACUGAUUCAAGUGUUAAAGUUUUGGUAACUAUCCUGGCAUCUCUUAGAUGUUUAAUUUUGUAUGUCAGUUUGAAUGUAACUAUCAAUGUCCUUUGUGGCAGUGGUGAGGAAAUCAGGGAGUAGUCCAUGUGGAAAAAUUGAAGUGCAUUCCAGGUGGAAAAAUAACUUCUGACUCCUGUGGUAAGCCUCAAUACCAGCCUGCCUGGAAUACUCAGAAAUUUCUACCUGCGUGGACAGAAAAGUUAAGCCCUUUAGUCUGUAAAUUGGUCUUACAGUAAAUAGACCUGGGAUUGUUGUGAUGGAGAGCCAAGUCCAGAUCACAGGGUGUCCAUCACUGUCAAGGUCAGCACUAGUCCAGACUCUGCACUGUGGAUCUGUGACUUGUUCAUGACGGACUGAGGUUGUUGGAGGAUUUUUAGGAGGGCUUUUAGGAGGACAGAGAAACGAAGAUUAGGAUAAGAAGGGGAAACUCUCCCUUGUUAAAUAAACUUGCAGAAAGUCUAGCUUUCUUAUAUCCCAGGUUUCCAAAAUGUUGCUAUUCUCCUCAGACAAUUUUAUCUAAUUAACAUCUAUUUUUCACUCCUUUACGCAGUAAUCAGCUUUCAGUUACCGGAACCCAGCUGCUGAUGCAGAAAAGUACUGAAAAAUCAGAUUCAUACAAUAAAUCCUUAGAUGCCCUCACCGUUUCCUAAACCAAGAC